rnacentral:rRNA from 1 species
UACGUAGGGGGCAAGCGUUGUCCGGAAUCAUUGGGCGUAAAGAGCGUGUAGGCGGUCCGAUAAGUCCGCUCUGAAAGCCCGGGGCUCAACCCCGGGAGGCGGGCGGAUACUGUCGGGCUAGAGUCCGGAAGAGGCAAGUGGAAUUCCUGGUGUAGCGGUGAAAUGCGCAGAUAUCGGGAAGAACACCCGUGGCGAAGGCGGCUUUCUGGGACGGUACUGACGCUGAGACGCGAAAGCGUGGGGAGCGAACAGG